rnacentral:rRNA from 1 species
GUGGGGAAUAUUGGACAAUGGGCGCAAGCCUGAUCCAGCCAUGCCGCGUGAGUGAUGAAGGCCUUAGGGUUGUAAAGCUCUUUUGUCCGGGAAGAUAAUGACUGUACCGGAAGAAUAAGCCCCGGCUAACUUCGUGCCAGCAGCCGCGGUAAUACGAAGGGGGCUAGCGUUGUUCGGAAUCACUGGGCGUAAAGCGCACGUAGGCGGACCAUUAAGUCAGGGGUGAAAGCCUGGAGCUCAACUCCAGAACUGCCUUUGAUACUGAUGGUCUCGAGUAUGGAAGAGGUUGGUGGAACUGCGAGUGUAGAGGUGAAAUUCGUAGAUAUUCGCAAGAACACCAGUGGCGAAGGCGGCCAACUGGUCCAUUACUGACGCUGAGGUGCGAAAGCGUGGGGAGCAAACAGGAUUAGAAACCCCAGUAGUCC